GAGUCGGCCUGCGCGGAAGAUGUAACGGGGCUAAACCAUGCACCGAAGCUGCGGCAGCGACGCUGAUGCGUUGUUGGGUAGGGGAGCGUUCUGUAAGCCUGCGAAGGUGGCCUGUGAGGGUUGCUGGAGGUAUCAGAAGUGCGAAUGCUGACAUAAGUAACGAUAAAGCGGGUGAAAAGCCCGCUCGCCGGAAGACCAAGGGUUCCUGUCCAACGUUAAUCGGGGCAGGGUGAGUCGACCCCUAAGGCGAGGCCGAAAGGCGUAGUCGAUGGGAAACGGGUUAAUAUUCCCGUACUUGGUGUUACUGCGAAGGGGGGACGGAGAAGGCUAUGUUGGCCGGGCGACGGUUGUCCCGGUUUAAGCGUGUAGGUGUGUGUUCCAGGUAAAUCCGGUUCACUUUAACACUGAGGCGUGAUGACGAGGCACUACGGUGCUGAAGCAACAAAUGCCCUGCUUCCAGGAAAAGCCUCUAAGCAUCAGGUAACAUCAAAUCGUACCCCAAACCGACACAGGUGGUCAGGUAGAGAAUACCAAGGCGCUUGAGAGAACUCGGGUGAAGGAACUAGGCAAAAUGGUGCCGUAACUUCGGGAGAAGGCACGCUGACA
rnacentral:rRNA from 1 species